rnacentral:tRNA from 1 species
GCCGAGGUGGCGGAAUUGGCAUACGCGUCGGUCUCAAAAACCGAUGAUCGAAAGAUCAUGCGGGUUCAACUCCCGCCCUCGGCA